rnacentral:rRNA from 1 species
CCCUUAGACGUUCUGGGCCGCACGCGCGCUACACUGACCAGUGCAACAAGCAUCCGUCCUUGGCCGACAGGCCCGGGCAAUCUUUGAACGCUGGUCGUGAUGGGGAUAGACUUUUGCAAUUUUUGGUCUUCAACGAGGAAUUCCUAGUAAACGCAAGUCAUCAACUCGCAUUGAUUACGUCCCUGCCCUUUGUACACACCGCCCGUCGCACCUACCGAUUGAAUGGUCCGGUGAAGCCUCCGGAUUGGCGCGCACCUCGGUGCCGCCGAGAAGUUGGCUAAACCUUACCAUUUAGAGGAAGGUGAAGUCGUAACA